AUUUUUAAUCUCGGUGCUUUAAAGACUCCAGAUCUCAACUGAUCUUGGAAGCCAAUCAAUGUCGAUCCUGGUUAGUACUUGAAUGAGACACCACCAAUGAAUACCAGGUGUUAAAGGCU
rnacentral:rRNA from 1 species